rnacentral:rRNA from 1 species
UACGUAGGGUGCAAGCGUUGUCCGGAUUCAUUGGGCGUAAAGAGCUCGUAGGCGGCUUAGUAAGUCAGGUGUGAAACCUCCAGGCUCAACCUGGAGACGCCACUUGAUACUGCUAUGGCUUGAGUUUGGUAGGGGUAAGCGGAAUUCCUGGUGUAGCGGUGAAAUGCGCAGAUAUCGAGAGGAACACCAGUGGCGAAGGCGGGUCCCUGGACAACACCUGACACUGAGGCACGAAAGCUAGGGGAGCAAACAGG